UGUGUGUGGGAGCUCACCCUUAGGUAGACAUUGUCUCUAUUCAAACUGGGGAUUGAAAGGCGAUGAGUCUGAAGCUGCCACGGGGAAGAGUAGAUUUGAAAAUGGAGACAAUUCAGGGGAAGUAGAACCAAGAGGGAAAUCAGGACCCUGGUGAUACCAUGUGAGGAACACGACCACGCAUGAGUUUCCAGCACUGCCAGCGCCCCACCAGCUCUGGUUGCCCCUCUACUGCCGGGGAUAUGAAGACUGGCUUCCUGAGAGGCCACCAAGGGGACAGCUGACACAAUCCUGAAAGAAGGUGGGUGUCUGCAAGCCAGGAAGAGAGCUCACACCAGAAAGGAACCAUGUUGGCAUCUUGAUCUUGGACUUCCCAGCCUUCAGAACUGUGAAAGACAAAUGUCUACUGUUUAAGCCACCCAGCCUGUGGUAUUUUGUUAUGGCGGCCUGAAUUACACAAUCUCUCGGUGCCUUCAAAAUCAACGCAUCCUCAGGUCCCAGAGAAAAGACCUGGGGAGUAGGAUUGC